rnacentral:rRNA from 1 species
GAUGAACGCUGGCGGCGUGCUUAACACAUGCAAGUCGAACGGUGAACACGGAGCUUGCUCUGUGGGAUCAGUGGCGAACGGGUGAGUAACACGUGAGCAACCUGCCCCUGACUCUGGGAUAAGCGCUGGAAACGGCGUCUAAUACUGGAUAUGUGACGUGACCGCAUGGUCUGCGUUUGGAAAGAUUUUUCGGUUGGGGAUGGGCUCGCGGCCUAUCAGCUUGUUGGUGAGGUAAUGGCUCACCAAGGCGUCGACGGGUAGCCGGCCUGAGAGGGUGACCGGCCACACUGGGACUGAGAGACGGACCAGACUCCUACGGGAGGCAGCAGUGGGGAGUAUUGCACAAUGGUCGCAAGCCUGAUGCAGCAACGCCGCGUGAGGGAUGACGGCCUUCGGGUUGUAAACCUCUUUUAGCAGGGAAGAAGCGAAAGUGACGGUACCUGCAGAAAAAGCGCCGGCUAACUACGUG